rnacentral:rRNA from 1 species
GGAUUAGAUACCCUGGUAGUCCACGCUGUAAACGAUGUCUGCUAGCCGUUGGGAUCCUUAGAGAUCUUGGUGGCGCAGCUAACGCGAUAAGCAGACCGCCUGGGGAGUACGGCCGCAAGGUUAAAACUCAAAUGAAUUGACGGGGGCCCGCACAAGCGGUGGAGCAUGUGGUUUAAUUCGAAGCAACGCGAAGAACCUUACCAGGACUUGACAUCCAGAGAACUUUCCAGAGAUGGAUUGGUGCCUUCGGGAACUCUGAGACAGGUGCUGCAUGGCUGUCGUCAGCUCGUGCUG